GACGAACGCUGUCGGCGUGCUUAACACAUGCAAGUCUAACGGAAAGGCCCUGCUUUUGUGUGGUGCUCGAGUGGCGAACGGGUGAGUAACACGUUAGUAACCUGCCCUUGACUUUUGGAUAACUUCAGGAAACUGGGGCUAAUACCGGAUAGGAGCUCCUGCUGCAUGGUGGGGGUUGGAAAGUUUCGGCGGUUGGGGAUGGACUCGCGGCUUAUCAGCUUGUUGGUGGGUUAGUGGCUUACCAAGGCUUUGACGGGUAGCCGGCCUGAGAGGGUGACCGGCCACAUUGGGACUGAGAUACGGCCCAGACUCCUACGGGAGGCAGCAGUGGGGAAUAUUGCACAAUGGGCGGAAGCCUGAUGCAGCAACGCCGCGUGCGGGAUGACUGCCUUCGGGUGGUAAACCGCUUUCGCCUGUGACGAAGCGUGAGUGAAGGUAAUGUGUAAAGAAGCACCGGCUAACUACGUG
rnacentral:rRNA from 1 species